GCAUUGAGACUUUCACUCUGCUCACCUUUAUCCAGUCAAUUUUCUGUUCCCUUUCAUGAUACCGUUACUUAUCUACAUAAGCUUUGAAGAAGUUUUUCUCCUGAGAAAACACAGAAUUCUGAUACUGUUUGCUUUGAUCUGCGCGUUCUUCAUAGGGAUGUUUGAUAUGGAAAUUUAUCAGGCUGUACACUGAAGAAGUCUUCUUACUUUUCUGAAUAUAAUUCAGAUACUUCAGAACAGGUUUUUGAAACAGUAGGUCUUUUUUUCUGAAGUGAUCCUUCAAAAAGAGGUAACAUUACAUUUUUAGUGGAAUUUAUUCUGUUUUGAUUCUGUGAUCACCAUUGCAAUUUCAUAUGUCUUAGGUAUCCACGAAAGAACGGACACCAGCAUACCAGCCUCUGACAGAUGGCUCCGAACCAUGUACAGUGUGUGCUGAAAUGUUUGCAUUCUCAUAUCCUAGCAGGAGUGACUCUGGUGAAGUGAAAGUCAGCUCUAGCCUUGAAUCUAAAUACAAAUUUUCUGACAUCUUAUCCCCCAACCCCUUCUUUUUUCAGAGUUCCCAAUUUUGAAAUGCUGGGCUCAGUCAGAAGUAGCAGCUCCUUGUUCUUUGAAGAGUGAGGAGAUCUGCCAGUGGAAAAACAUGCAGUACAAAUCAAUACUUAAGAAUUUGACAGUGCAGGUGCCAGUGGGACUGACUAUACACACCUCCUUAGUGUGCUCCGUGACACUGCUCAUUACGGUUCUGUGUUCUACUCUGAUCCUUUUAGCUGUUUUCAAAUACGGCCAUUUUUCCCUGUAAGUUUUAUGCAGUUAAGUGUUUUCUACCUAAUAAAUGAGACAUAUUCAU
rnacentral:lncRNA from 1 species